rnacentral:lncRNA from 1 species
UUUGGGUGACUUGCCUAUUAUGAGUUUUAACUGAAUAUAUCUGCAGGGAUCAACUCGCUUUGUUUCAGGGGUUCUUGUACUUGGGCCAUGUAUCUGAUGCCUUUGAUGAAAUGGAGGAUGGACAUGAUGGUGCUGAGAAAUAUGCUCACUAGAUAUAGCACUCAAGCCUUGGUAUUAUUCAUUAAGAAUUAGCCAUCAUGUACUUUCUAUGGUUGUAUUAGGCUUUUUUAAGCAAAGACAUGUUGUAAACAAGCUGAAUUUGUUGAACUCUAUCUCCAAUGAGAGUUGUACUGUACUUUUGUGUUGGAAGCAUGACAUUGUCUGUUUAUCCUUGUUCAGUCAUUAACCUGGUCAUGUUUGCAGCCACAUCAUGCUCUGCUCAGCAUGCUCAUGCAUCAUCUUGCUUUUAAGAUCUGAUGAUUAGUUACAGGUUAUUGUUGCCCAUGCUGUUUUCAGUGUGCGAGUGUUUUGUUUGGUGCCUUUUCAGAGUCAGGAAAGCAACAGUGAUCAUGUUCAAGUCGCAUUUUGAUUUUUGAGGCUUCUGCAAAAAAGAAAAACAUGCUUCUUGCUUCAUCCUAUAACAUUCAGAUAUCCUCAUCUUGUAAGCGAGACACCUUACAUUUCCUGGUUGAUCCCACACAUAUGCCCAUUGUUGUAGUGUUUAUGCAGGACAUGCUUUUUAAUGGUUGCUGUCAUGUUUAUUGACUGCAAAUACUCCACCUCUUAUCCAGUUGGGCAUGUCUUUGAUUGAGAACACUUUUCUAUAAGGCUGGGCAGCACUAGAACUUCUCCCCAAUCAUGCUUGUCUGAUUUCGUUUGCAAGGGAUAACUUGCAGAGCAUGUCACAAGAAACGCACGAAAAGGAGUGACCCAUUGGCACAAGUUGCCAACCACCGAGUGAGUCAACAGGUAGGUGACCAGAAACUCAUCAUAUAAUACUAUACUGCAUGCUGGUGCUUAAGAAAAUCCAUCACACAGCCACUCUUCUAUGUAUAUAUGCUUGCCUGGCUCUGGCUGCUAAUUAUCAUCUUCUUGCUUGUCGUUGCCGCCAGUGUUGCACCUUGAAUCAAGAUCCAUCCAUGGAGCCAAUGCAAGGAAGAGUGCAGAUGUGGAUGCUCCUGUGGCUCGCCUUCUGCUUGCUCGAGCAUUCGCAUUCGCUGGUGUUCCCGUUCCCCAUGCCGUUCUUCGCCCCUUCCUACACCAACCAGCAAGACGGUGAGAAGAAUCUGCAAAACUUUUCUGAGUCUUGCAGUGCAAUGCAUGUAUGCUAAGUCAUUUUUUCCUCUUAUUUUGCUGGUGCAGUUGAUGCUGUGAACGAGCUGUACGCGUCACUGGGCUCGCCGGACCUCCGUGGCUGGGCUGCCUCGGGAGGAGACCCUUGCGAGGAGGCAUGGCAAGGGGUGCAGUGCCUCGGCCCCAACAUAACCGAAAUGUUAGCUGUUCUUUUAGAAUCUCUUGUACCAUGCCGAGCUUCAUGCACUAGCCAAUCACAGAAAAGCUUUUUGUUGAAACUGACAGAGCACUCAAAGGCGCGGGUCUAGAAGGGAAGCUGAGCGAGGCACUCGGAAAGCUCACUGCUGUUACAAGAUUGUUUGUGAAUUUACAUCAUAUUUCAGUUCUACUUUCUGUCCACUACCACUUCAGUUUAUUUAUUGACAUUGUUUUUGGAUUGUGUUCAUGCAGGGACCUGUCAUCAAACAACCUCGGCGGUGAGCUGCCGGAGUCAAUGGCAAUGCUCAAAUCCCUUUCAGCACUGUGGGUAGCUGAGUAUUAUGCUUCCUAAUUAGUACUCCCUCCGUUCGGAAUUACUUGUCGUGGAAAUGGAUGUAUCUAGACGUAUUUUAGUUCUAGAUACAUUCAUUUCCGAGACAAGUAAUUCCGAACGGAGGGAGUACUAUGCAGUGAUACUCUUUUCCUGGUAGUUUGUGGUUAAAUGCAUUGUUUUUCUGAAUUUGCAAUGUGCUGCAGGCAUGUGCAGAACAACAGCCUAACUGGGACACUCGAUGUGCUGCGUGAUCUUCCCCUGAAAGACCUGUAAUUGCUUUACCUAUUUACACAGAUACCUCCUUAGCUCAUACUGUGAAAUAUGAUGAUCACUCUACUCCUUGACGAGAUAACGUGCAAAAUCCUGCAUGUUGUUGAGAGGGAAAAAACAUUUCCAUGAAACAAAGGUCUGACUGCAUUUCCCGCAUGCCCAUUCCUGAAUCUUGAUUAUGUGACCGUUUACAGGAAUGUGGAGAACAAUCAGUUCGCAGGAUCAAUCCCAGAGAAGAUGCUGAACAUCCCAAAAUUUCUGUAAGAACUCCAUCCUCUCUUAUCGAGAUUCAAGAACCAAAAGAGCUUGGCUAACUGCUGCCUGCCUAACAAAUCAAUAAUCUUGCCUGAAUUUUCUGCAGAAGAAAUGGCAACCAUUUCACCAUUCCGAUCCCUGGUUCCUCUCCGACUCCGGCGACGUCGUCUCCUUCUCCAGCUGCACAUCCUCACAUUACUGUAAUUCCAGCAGUUACUCCACAGGACACUACACACGGUGGGGCUCCUCGGAGGCACGCCAACAAGGUGUUUCCGGCAAAGGCUGCCGGAUUCAGCAUUCUCGCUGCCAGUUUAUUGACCAUUGCUGUCGUUGUAAUCGUGUUCGCAACCUUGAGAAGGCGGCAGGAGAUGUCCACUCGGGAAGGGCACCUGAGCGCAAUUGCGAGGAGCGUGGCAAUCUGGACAAGGAAGCCUCCUAAGCUAGGUGCAACUGCCAACCCUGACAAACAACACAGUACAGGUACAUGAAAAACAAUGCUGAAAUUUUAUCCUGAAAAUUAAGAACCUACAUAUUCUGAUAUCAAUGUCCAUUGUUGUUUUGAUCAUUGAAGUCGCUGCAAAUGACAUUGUGGGGAGCACUCUGAGAGAUUGCACAAAGGUGUCGGGUUUAUCGGCACAUACACCUCUCAAGAACUACAGCAUGCCAAGCAUUGUUUCAGAUAAGAAUGUUCAGCGGGGGUCAGAAGAAGGCAAACCCUCGACGGUUUCCUUCAAGUUCUUCACUGUUGCAUAUCUGCAACAGUGCACCAACAGCUUCAGCGCUGAGAAUUUUCUGCGAGAAACUCGGUUCGGCAAUAUCUAUCUUGCAGAGCGCCCAGAAUGCAAGGUAAAUUGAACUGUAUGUAGAACUUUCAUUCCUAAUUGUAUCAUAUUCAGUUUCUUUAUAGUAGCAGAGUACCAUCUCUUUUUCCUGUUGGAAACUUUGUGGUGUUAUUGACAUCAUCUUCCCAUGAUCACAUUUCUUCUAGUUUGCGGUGCUGAAGCUUCGCGACACGGCUACGAAAAUGGCGGCUGACGUGUUUCUGGAGAAUGUUCGGACCAUCGCCGACCUUCGACACCCCAACAUAGAAGAGCUUGUGGGUUGCUGCGUGGAGCACGGACAGAGGCUGCUCGUGUACAAAUAUUUCAGCGAACACACAUUGGACGACAUGAUCCACCGCGGCAGCAGCGACACUGCCGAUCCCGGCAGCAAGUUCCUGUGGGAAGCUCGGAUCGCCGUGGCCCUCGAGGCCGCCAAGGCUCUCGAAUACCUCCAUGACGGUGGCGGCGGCCAGGAGGGACAUGUCGCCGUUGUCCACGGACAUUUCAGGCCGGAGCAUGUCCUUGUCGACGGCGAGGCGCGGGUGCGCGUGUCCGGAUGCGGCCUCGCCCCGUUCGCGCCACCGUCAGCGUCAGGAACUACUACGGACUGGCAAGACGACGCACUGAGCUACGUCGGUCCGCCGGAAGAAGCCGCAACGACGGAGGCGGCCACAGGCCGCGACGUGUACUGCUUCGGUGUGGUGAUGCUGCAGCUCCUGACGGGGCGCAGGCCCUACGACAAUGUGCGGCCGCGAGGGGAGAGGCUCCUGGUGCCGUGGGCUGGCGCGCGGCUGCACGAUCUGAGCGCUCUGCGCAGGAUGGCCGACCCACGCCUCCGGGGCACGCCGGUGCCGGUCAGGUCCCUAUCACGGUUCGCGGACAUCAUCAGCAGAUGCGUGCAGGUAACUAAAGCUCGUCCUUACUUUGGUUUCUCGUUUUCUUGGGCUGCUGCGUUGUCGUCGUAAUGGAGUUUGCCUACGUGCAGCGGGAGGCUGAGUUCCGGCCGGCGAUGGCGGAGGUGGUGCAGGACCUGAUGGGCGCCACCGCCACGGAAGAGGCGCACAUAGCGAACGACUGCGGAGAGCUAUCGCCGGUGACGGCAGAGUACCAACUUGGUGUGAACUGCUCGCUCUGAUUGACAUAGAAAACUGCCAAACAUGUCCUCACCAUCAGCAUAGAAUGCAUCUAUUGUACUCACUAAGCCAUUUACUAUGCUGCAUUGCCUUUGAUCUCAGGCUGGAAGCACUGUUUCAAGCAAAUUAUUUUUCCAUCAAAGGAGAAUUCUUGGGUUUUAUUUGGUUAUAGGGUGCAACGCCCGGACUACACUUGAGGGCCCCAAUAGCAAGCUAUUCUGAUGGACCCUCCCUGACACUUAGCCCACAUAUCAAACAGAUACUGCACUUGAUCUUAGCCAAAAGGUCGAGAAAGAUAUGAUUUGAAACUUUGUCCUCCCUCUCCUUUUAUGGCUUCUUGGGCCAACUCCACCACGUGUGCCGGCGAGGUGGGACUAAACGAAACUAAGAGUAAACUAAGAGUUGCAGUGAGUAUUAACAAAUUUGUACCUGCCCCCGUUGCGCCCGUUUCUUCGCUGCACGCAAACGGGCGCAUACCCCCCGCGCCAGGCUGGGCCGGCCCAUUUCUUCUUUUUCUGUUAAAAUUGCAUCAAUCAAAAAAGCAUGAGUGCGGUGGUUCGAACUUGGGAUGUUCCGUUUAGACAUCAGCGCAGUUACCACUAGGCAAAGAACCACUUGCUGUUUGCAAACCUCUUUUGCCUCUUUUAUUGUUUUUCCAGGUCGCGAGAUUUUUUCUCCUUUUUCCUGCUCUUUUUUCAUUUUUCUUUUCUUUAUUCCUUUUUCUUUUUUUUCGUAAAUGUGCAAUUUUUUAUUCAAAUUUGAUGAACCUUUAUCAAAUUGAUGAUUUUUUUUAAAACUCAAUGAAAAUUUUCAAAUUCCAUAUUUUUUUAAAACGUGAAAAAUUAUUGAAAACCUGAACAAAAAAUUAUAUACGAUGAGCAAUUUUCAAAUAUACAUUGAACAUUUUUUUGGUGUACGAUGAACAAUUUUUAACUACACAGCAAACAUUUUUGUGAUAUACAUUGAAAUAAUUUAAAACAUAUUUAUACAUUCUUUUGAUAUAAGAUGAACAACUUUUAUACAUUGAAAUUUUUUGUAAUAUAAUCUGAACAAUUUUUAACUACACAUUGAACAAUUUUAUGAUAUGCGCUGAAAAACCAUUUAAAUACCCAUUGAACAUUUUUUUUAUGUACACGGAACAAUUUAAAAUUGUGAACAAAAUUUUAAAAAGUGAAUAAAUUUGAAAAACUAUGAACACAUUUUGAAAUCAUGAACAAAAAACGAAAAAUACAUUUUUUAAAAUUCCAUGAACUUUUUUCAAAUUCAAUGAACUUUUUCUAGAUUUCGAUGAACCUUUUUCAAAUUCGAUGAUUUUUUUUCCCAAAUUUGAUGAACUUUUUCCAACUUUGAUGAACUUUUUUUCAUAUUCGAUGACCAUUUUUCAAAUUCAUUGAACUUUCUUCUAAAUUCAAACAAAAUUUUUUGAUAUUGAUGAACUAUUUGUCAAAAUUGAUGAACUUUUUUAAAAUCAAUGAUUUUUUUAGUUCGUUAACCUUUUCAAUUCGUGAUUUAUUUUGAAAUCUGUGAAUUUUUUCAAAUUUCGUCCCGAAAAAAAUUAUGUUUCCCAAAAUCUGUGCGCAAUAAAUAGCGUGACGUUGAUUAUUCUUAAUUCAUGCGCGCUGAAUAUAUCCAUGAUUGAUUGGUUGCACUAGUGGUUAGUUGACUGGGACAUGUACCGGAGGUCGCGUGGUUGAUUCCUCACGGGAGCAACACUUUUUAGGGGAUUUUUUUGUGGUAUAGAUGGGAUUUUUUUUUCGUGGUAUAGAAGGCGUGUCGUGGGCCGGCCCAGCAGGCGCGGCUGUGAGCGCCAGCUUCCUGAACCGGCGCUUAAGGCGCCGGUUAGGAGCUCCCCUCCUAUACAGCGCUGCAGGCGGCGGUUGCUGCAACUGGCGCUCGCAGCAGCGUCUCGGUGGGCCGGCCCACGAGCGCGCAGCGCCAAGAAAACCCCCGCAAAAAAUGCGUACGCUGCAGGAUUCGAACUCACGCCAUGACAGUGCGAAACCUUGAAGAAUAGAAAGGUAGGCGCACUAUUUAUUGCGUGGUCCACUAUAAUGUUUAGAUUUUCAAUUAUUUAAAAACAUGUUCACAUAUUUCAAAAAUGAUGUUCACGAACAUGCAAAAAAAAAGUUCACCAAAAUUAAAAAAUGUUCAGGUAAUCAAAAAAAAGUUCAUGAAUUCAAAAGAAGUCCAUUACUUACAAAAAUGUUCAAUAUAUUUUGACAAAAUUUGCAAACUCGAAAAGAGUUUACGAAUUUCAAAAAAAAGACAACAUAUGUAAAAGAUUGUGAGUUUGAAAAAAAGUUCAUUAACUUUGAAAAAACAAUUUGUCGAAUAUGAAAAAAGUUCAUGAAAUUUGAAAAAGUUCAGAAGUGGAAACAAGUGCAUCGAUUUAAAAUUUUCAUCAAAUUUGGGAAAAUCUCAUCCAAAUUGAAAACAAAAUCAUCAAGUUUUAAAAAAAGUUCAUCGAAUUAGAAAAAAAGUUCACGAUUUUCAAAACCAGUUCAUCAAAAAUGAAAACAGUUCAUCAAUUUGAAGAAAAAGGUUGAUCAAUUUGGAAAAAACGUUAAUACUAAUUAAAAAAAAGUGAAUGGAUUUUCAAAAACGUUCAUCGAACUUGAAAAAUAGUUCAUAGAAUUUGAAAAAAAAGUUCCUUGAAUAUGAAAAAAAGUUAAUGAAUAUUAAUACAAAGUUCAUCGAAUAUGAAAAAGUUCAUAGAGUUUGAAAAAAGUUCAUUGAGUUUGAAAAAAGUUCAUCAAAUUAGUAAAAAGUUCAUUGAAUUUGAAAAGAAGUUCAUCGAUUUUCAAGAAAAAAGUUCAUGAAUUUGAAACAAAAACAUCAAACCAGGAAGAAGGAAAAAAAUAAACAAACAGAAACAAAAAAGGAAAAAAGGAAAAAGGGAAAAGAAAAAAGGAAAGAAGUCAUGAACAAAAACCAGAAAAGUAUGUAAUGCGACAGUUCAGUGAAGUAGGCGUAGUGGUUAUUGUAGCUUUGCCCAAUGUGGAGAUCGCUGGUUCAAUACUUGGUUGGUGUGCCUUUUUUGCUGUUUGAAACAGAAAUGCCGAGCAAACGCACACAGGAGCGAGCGGGAUCACAUGUACUGGGCCGGCCCAAUUACGUGAUUCGGUUUUAGGAACCUUCUAGCAGUUCUGUCUGGUUUUAUGCAUCUUGGGAACCUCCCAGAAGGUUCUCUGAACCGGUUUUUGUCUGUUUUUUCCCUUGUGUUUUCUUUUUCGGUUUUUUCCCUUUUCUGUUUCUCUUGUAUUUUAUUUUUUCAACAAAUGUUCAGAAAUUUGAAAAAUGUUCGCAUUUUAAGUUUUUUUCACAAAUUAAGGAAAUUUUAAAAAAUAUCCAUUUAGAAAAAAGUGUUCGCAAAUUUUUAUAAUUUUAAUGUUUUCAAAUUUUUUCCGCAAUUUCAAAAAAUGUACGGAAACUUGAGAAAAUGUUCCAGGUUUUUAAUUUUGUUCUAGAAUUUUUCAAUUGCCCACGUUCUGAAAAUUCGUUCUGACACUCAAAAAUCUGUUUAUUUUUCUUCUUUAUUUUUCUUCUUUUCUUUUCCUUUUGCUGUUUCUUUCUUUCUUCUUUGUCUCUUUUUCAUUUUUUUCUUUUUCAAGUUGAUAUUUUUAUUUUAUUUUAAUUCAAACCUUUUAGGUUUCUAAAAAAUGUUCUACUUUAAAAAUAUGUUCACAAUUUGAAAAAGUGUACAAGAAUUUUAGAAAAUGUUCGUCUACUUCAAAAUUUGUUCAGUUCACAAAUUUAGAAAAUGUUCCUAUUUCAAAAAAAAACUUCCGACAUUGCAAAAAUUGUUUGCGGUUGCAAAAAUUGGUCUAAAAUUCAAAAAAUGUUCGUGUUUGAUAAAAUGUUAAGGAAUUUCAAAAAAUGUCCGUGGUUUAAUUUUUUUAGAUAUUUCAUAAAGUUCCAUUUUCAAAAAAAAAUAUUCACAAAUUCAAAAAAUGUUCGCGGUUUCAUUUUUUUGUAAUUUCAUAAAAAGUUCCAUUUUUCAAAUAGUUGUUCAAAAAUUCAAAAUUGUUCGUGGUUUACAAUUUGUUCGGGAUUUCAUAAUUUGUUCACAACUUCAAAUAAUGGUUCAUGUUUUUCAAAAACAUUUUCUGCAGUUUCAAUUUUUUUGUGCACAUAUGCAAAAAAUUGUUCCUGUGUACAAAAUAUGUUCAGAAAUGAAAAAAAUGGUCGCACUUUUUCAAAAUAUACACUUUCAGAAAAAAUGUACAAUUUCUUUUAAGAUGUUCACUACAGUGUGUAAUUCUGGUUUGAUACAGUAGAUAAGUCCGGUUGUAUGGUUGUGCCAGUUAUUAAAAGUGCGCAUUGGUUUGCUACAAUCAAUGCUAGUCAGGUGGAGUGGCUGGGAGCAUGCACUUCAAAGCUGUAGGUCGCAGGUUUGAGUUUCCAUCGCUCCUUCUCUCCCCUUUUUUCUUUCUUUUCUUUCCACCGAUACAGCGCGAUGGGCCGGCCCAGUUAGUUUGCGCCCCUGUGUGUUUCAACGACAUUUUGACGCAAAGCGCGUUCAAUAGGACCUCCCCUAGAAUAGUACUAACUUGUACGGGAGCUCCUAGUUGGCGCUGUAGGCGCCGGUUCGCGCCGCUGGUGCCCGCGCGGACACGAACUGGGCCGGCCCAACAAGCUGCUGAGAAGCAAAAAGCGAAGGGAAAAAUUACUGUGUGAGGUUUAUUCGGGAGAAUCGGGAGUCAAACUCGUAACACCCAAGUAAACGACCACAUGGGUCGACCACUGGACCAAGCUCACUGUGAUGCUUACUUUAGGAAAUCAUAACUCUUUAAUAUUUCAUACAGUAACGCACAGGUAGAGGACUACAGACCAUACGACAAGGAGUGGCUGAGAAGUAUACUACGAGACUCCGUGAGGGAAACGAGCCACCGGAGGCCUGAGGGGCAUAUCAUUGAUACUUCCUCUGUAAAGAAAUAUAAGAGCGUUUAGAUCAGAAAUCCCUUUUGAUGACCGAGCUCCAAUGAGGCCUCCAAAUUCAAAUUUCAAAUUUCAAAUUUCAUCAAAAUUCAUAUUUUUACGUUUCAAAAAAUUCUGAAAAAAAACACAGAUAUACAUGAAGGCAUAACACACAUGUGUGUAAAUUUUCAGGGCAAAAUACGUUGAAAUGAGGGCUGUGCAAAAUAAACAAAUAUGGGGUUGUUUAACACAUGAUACUAUUCAUCCUCUCAUGCCAUGAAUUUGUCUUUUUUAUACAGGUCGCAACUCAAGUUAUUUCAUCAUGAAGUUUUACACACAUGUGGGUUACAUCUUUACGUACACGCAUAUUUUUUUCAGAAUUUUUUGAAACAUUAAAGUUUGAAUUUGAAUUUUUCAAACAUAAAGGGCUCCAUGGAGCUCGGCCUCCAAAACGCCAUUCUCCGUUUAGAUCACUAUUUUAGUGAUCUGAACGCUCUUAUAUUUCUUUACGGAGGGAGUACGUGAUCUAUCUGAAAUUUAAACACAAGGACAUACUUUCAAUCAUAGAUUUUGUUUAGCUACGGUAUUGCAUCUAUGUGUUGUGUUCGUUAGCAGGCUACGCCCAUACCUAGCUUGCCAGGAGGGGUGCCAGAUGCAAGUAUAUGAAAUUACCAUAAUUGAUAACAAUUGCAACAUCUGAAGGAAUGACCAAACUCCUAAUCCUGCCAUGCCCCUUCCGGCUUCUACGUACUACCCUCCCACUGACCAACUCUGCUCUCAGUGUGCCUUCCAUCCCCGGCAAUGUGUUGUGACCCGGUUCCUCGAUCCGACCAAUCCUGAUUUGAUAAGUAAAUCACGGGUGUUGUGAAGAAACGGGUAGGAAAUGAGGGAAGGCGUAUGGACCAGAUGCACAGAGUGAAUCUUGCAGGACAACCAUCACGCCCAUUUCAAUAAUAUUAGUGUUUUAAUGUUUUGAAAUAUUCCCUUGCAGGGGUGCAAUGACAUGUACGACAUGUGGGGCAAGCUCAGUGUCAUGGGAUUGCCCACAUUCGGAUACGUUGUGAUUAGGUGAUGUGUUCAAAUAUAUGAUAUGGACCUAUUGAGAGCUUUGAGUUAUGCUUAUCAGCUAGAAACAAAAUCAAUUAUUUCCCCGUUGCAACGCAUGGGUCACUGCAUAUACUUUGCAUGUACGUCAAAGGCAGGUCGAAGACAAUUUUUAUAAAACCGAUUGAACAAUCGUCAUGUGCCAAGCAAAAGUUGGAGUCAGGGCAUCUCCAGCCGUUGGCCCCCCAGGAGGGGCAAAAAAUCGCCCCCUGGUGGCGCACCGGCGCUAAACCGCGCACUGGGGGCGUGAUGCCCCCCAGUCGCGGCGCCCACGGUAUUUUAAAAAAUUUAAACACGGCACAAACACGGCGCAAAUUCAUUGCAAACUUCGGCGAGUUCGUUCAAACUUAAACAUAUUUUACAAAAAAAAAAACCGUGGGCUACUCCCGACGUCUCCCUCG